rnacentral:rRNA from 1 species
UACAGAGGUCCCGAGCGUUGUUCGGAUUCAUUGGGCGUAAAGGGUGCGUAGGCGGUUUUCUAAGUUUGAUGUGAAAUCCCGGGGCUCAACCCUGGAAUUGCAUUGAAUACUGGGAGACUAGAGUACUGGAGAGGAAACUGGAAUUUACGGUGUAGCAGUGAAAUGCGUAGAGAUCCGGAGGAACACCAAAGGCGAAGGCAGUGUCCUGGGGAGUACCUGGACGCUCAGGUGCGAAAGCCAGGGGAGCGAACGGG